UUACGACCAUAUCACGUUGAAACACCAGUUCUCGUACGAUCACCGAAGUUAAGCAACAUCGAGCCUGGUCAGUAUCUAGAUGGGAAUACCUGGUGUUGUAU